UGAAAAAUAUAUCAGAGACUAACUCCUUGGAGUAGUAAUACUUAUCGCUGCGUCUCGAAUCCGCAAUGAGCAGCAGCCACCAACACUACCUCCAUAAGCAUCCCCUUCCAACUCUCACCACUCGCCUCUCGCGCGUGUCAUCCACGCGUCACUCUCUCCACUUUCUCCCUCCAAACCCGCCAUGUCCUCCGCCGCUCUCCGAUCAUCACCACCCACUCCGGUCACCGAACUCAGCGAUGAGUCCAACGCAAAUCUCUCUUCUCUCACGACGGCCACAUCUCCAUCUGCGGCUUCGGCUCUCUCCUCUCCGGGAAAUCAACUUGAGCAUGGCUGAGAGGGAGACAUUACCAUACCUCCUUAAUUGGAUUGGUUGGUUGGCUACAUCCAAUAUAAAAUCAUUCUUGGAGAAAUGGAAUAUGAAGUCCCCACCAUUAUAGAGCAUAUGUCUAAAGACAAUGCCUUACUAACCUGGAUAAAAGGAAAGCUAAGUACGUGCACUGCCACUGUUACUAUUGGUGAGGUUCUACCCUUACUAAGAGGAUAAAAUAGUUUGGUGGUAAAAUAUACAAUUAAGCCUUGGAUAUAAGGAUCACUCCAAGUGCUUUUAAUCUGUUCUCCAGUUUCUACAAGCAAAAGGUUUGAUAGACAAGAAAGCUAGCUUAUUUACACUGUUUAUAAUUUAGGAGAAGAUGCUCAUGCAGAAGUUUGUGAAAUGUUUUGAGGAGGAUGAAACAUCUUACCCUAUUAUAGCUAUAUUACGCAAGAAUAAUAUUCAAGAUAAUAUGGAGGAUGGCAGCCUCCACUUUUUAUCAAAAGGUUAACUGAUGACUGUUGUGCAAUUUUUGUGGACUUCAACCUUGUAGUUUGUGUCCCAUUCUAGUGCAGUAGUGCUUAUCCUACUAUUGUCUAAACCUGGAUUAUUAAUUUUUAAUUUGAUUGAACAGUUCA